rnacentral:tmRNA from 1 species
GCUAAGCAUGUAGGGCCUACUCAGGGACCUUAGACUGGACGCGGGUUCGACUCCCGCCACCUCCACGG